AUGAGGAGAAUAUCUUAAGAUCAGAAUUCCAGUAUUGACCUUUUAAGCAUAUGUGAAAUUACCAAAACGCCCCUACGGAGUCUAGGAGGAUUAAGAUUGAUAAAUUUCACAUAAGGACUUAUACCCUACUGUUAUAACUUGGUAAAAUGAGUAGGUUUACUGAUUUAAUCAGACCUGUAACUCAGGUUAUUAUUUAAACCCUUUUACACCCUUUAAAAUGACCAAAAUGCCCUUAUGAGGCAUAAAUUGGGUUUAAAACCAUUUGGGGCAUAAUGGAAGGUAUCAUUCUGAUAUCACAACAUGUUUAAGGCAUAUUAACUUAGGAAACUUGUAUUUGACUCUUAUGGUUGCUCGUUACGCACUUUAUGCGUUCGGAUCGGCGUAGGUAACUAGUUUACCCAUUAUAGCCGAAACGGGUCAAACCAUAUCUUUUCGGUCUCAAAAUCCAGAAUGUGAUUAAGUUACCCAUAUUAAACAAGUAUGCAAGCUUGUUGGGUCAAAACCACAUUCUAAGACGGUCUUCGCCUUAUCGUGCGUUUAAACCGUAAUCUUCAUUUAAGAACUAACCGGUCUAGGCUUAGGCCAAAUUAAAGACCCGUUAGAAAUCUAAUAGGUUAUUAAAAACCUUCGUUCCAGAUUUAGGAGCCCAGUAAAAGCUAUCUGUACUUGCUUGGUGGUAUACGGCUGGGAUUAAAUUUAUAUUUAGCUCAGGUACUAAGCGUAAUAGGCUGGUUUCUCCUAGCAUCAAAUAGAAGUCUCGCAAGCUUAGAUGCCUGAAGUCUGUUGAACAAUGUUUUAUUUUAUUUUGCGAUCCGCCUGUGGAUCUUUUACUUUCCGGUUGUAAUAAUUGGAUAUUACUUCAUAUCGGAUUGUAAUAUAUUUUUGCU
rnacentral:lncRNA from 1 species